rnacentral:rRNA from 1 species
AUGAGAUGCAAGUGGCUGUGGCUUUCCUGGAUGGACACUACGCGACCCUGGCGUGGUUUACCUCUGCCUAUCACCAGCUCGGUCAGGGCUCUCUUUGAGGCUUCAGUCCAAUUCAACAUUGGGGAUGGCGCCAACACGCAGUUUUGGACAGACCCUUGGCACAACAGAGAAAGUUUCAGCUCAAGGUUUCCUGAUUUAUUCAAGCAUUGCACUGUCAAGUCGAUAUCCAUCCUUCAUGCUUUAACUGACGGAAAAUGGAUGCGACACUUUAAGAGCAACCUUUCCCAAGACGCUAUUAGCCAGUUUACGUCCAUGUGGAAUGACCUGCAGCUGGUGCAGCUAUCCGAAAAUCAGGAAGACACCUUAACUUGGCGUUGGACUGCAAACGGCCAAUUUUCCUCCUGCUCAGCAUACACGGCUACUCUUACUGCCAACAUCAAACCUCUGUUUGCUAAGUUGGCCUGGAGCUCCGAUGCGCCCCCUAAGUGCCAGUUUUUCGUUUGGUUGGCUGCUCAAGAGCGAUGCCUGACGGCAGACAACCUAGCAAAAAGGGGAUGGCCUCACAACCCCCUAUGCUCUCUAUGCCUUCAAGAGCCGGAAUCUGCUACGCACUUGCUUACCACAUGCUCAUUUGCUAAGGAAAUCUGGCACUUGACCUUUGACAUGCUUCAUAUGCACCACAGUUUGAUGGCCAACAAUGGGGAGUCCCUCACUAGCUGGUGGCAACGCUCCAGUUCGGCGAUGACCAAGGACAAGGCAAAGACUUGGCGGUCCAUUAUUGCUCUUGUGUGGUGGAACAUCUGGAAAGAAAGAAAUGCGAGGGUAUUCACUAAUUCAUCCUGCAGUGCAAGACCCCUGUUCGAGAAUAUUCAAGUUGAAGCCAAGGAUUGGAUUGAUGCUGGUCGUAGGAGAGUUCUACAACUUGUCGAGCGACCCUUAGAACCUGAUUGA